rnacentral:lncRNA from 1 species
AUGCUUUCCCCAUUCCUUCAGGGUUGUUUUUUUUUUCUUUCUAUUUUUGACAUGUAUAUCAUACUGAGCAAAGUUCAACCUCAGCGAAUGGCAUCAGUGAAUUCUGAAAAGGCAAGAUUUCCCCCCAAAAUGGUUUCAUCUGGCACGAGCAUUUGGAGAAAUAAUUAUUACCAAGAAAGGAAAGAAGAGAAAUGGUUCUUCCAUCAUCACAGAUGCACCCACGCAAGUGAAUGUCUGUUAAAGAUUUCCCAUCUGGACCCAACUCUUGCCUUGGAGUGAUAUCAGAUGACACAUAGCAGAAGAGCUUAAGCCACCAUAUAAAAUCCACAUGCUGAGAUGUGGGGAUUAGUUCCAGGUACCAACAACACUGUGAAGCCCCAGUCAUUAUUAUUCUGCCUUGUUUUAAAUAAAUUGUAGCAUGUGAUUAAUUGAAAUAUAAAA